rnacentral:rRNA from 1 species
AUUGAACGCUGGCGGCAGGCUUAACACAUGCAAGUCGAGCGGAGAUGAGGUGCUUGCACCUUAUCUUAGCGGCGGACGGGUGAGUAAUGCUUAGGAAUCUGCCUAUUAGUGGGGGACAACAUUCCGAAAGGAAUGCUAAUACCGCAUACGUCCCACGGGAGAAAGCAGGGGAUCUUCGGACCUUGCGCUAAUAGAUGAGCCUAAGUCGGAUUAGCUAGUUGGUGGGGUAAAGGCCUACCAAGGCGACGAUCUGUAGCGGGUCUGAGAGGAUGAUCCGCCACACUGGGACUGAGACACGGCCCAGACUCCUACGGGAGGCAGCAGUGGGGAAUAUUGGACAAUGGGGGGAACCCUGAUCCAGCCAUGCCGCGUGUGUGAAGAGGGCCUUAUGGUUGUAAAGCACUUUAAGCGAGGAGGAGGCUACUGAGACUAAUACUCUUGGAUAGUGGACGUUACUCGCAGAAUAAGCACCGGCUAACUCUGUGCCAGCAGCCGCGGUAA